ACUCCCAAACCCCUGUGAACAUACCUUAAUGUUGCCUCGGCGGAUCAGCCCGCGCCCCGUAAAACGGGACGGCCCGCCAGAGGACCCAAACUCUAAUGUUUCUUAUUGUAACUUCUGAGUAAAACAAACAAAUAAAUCAAAACUUUCAACAACGGAUCUCUUGGUUCUGGCAUCGAUGAAGAACGCAGCAAAAUGCGAUAAGUAAUGUGAAUUGCAGAAUUCAGUGAAUCAUCGAAUCUUUGAACGCACAUUGCGCCCGCUGGUAUUCCGGCGGGCAUGCCUGUUCGAGCGUCAUUUCAACCCUCAAGCCCCCGGGUUUGGUGUUGGGGGGAUCGGCUCUGCCCUUCUGGGCGGCGCCGCCCCCGAAAUACAUUGGCGGUCUCGCUGCAGCCUCCAUUGCGUAGUAGCUAACACCUCGCAACUGGAACGCGGCGCGGCCAUGCCGUAAAACCCCAACUUCUGAAUGUUGACCUCGGAUCAGGUAGGAAUACCCGCUGAACUUAAGCAUA
rnacentral:rRNA from 1 species